CAAAAUAAAUAAUACACAGACCGUUUAAUUUAACGCUAUGUUAUUUUGCUAGCUAGAGAGUUUUCCGAUAUGCGGGUUUCGACGAAUUUUGCUAUUGAACAUUUAUAGUGUUAUAUUAAAUAUAGUGUGACAACAAACAAUUGACACACAAACAAAGAAUUAGGGUUUCUACCAAUUGUCUUCUGAUUGUAAUUUCACUUUACAUGUUUUGCAUUUGCUCCAUUAGGGUUGUUGAAUCCAAUAAGGUCCAUCAUCGAAUUAAUCAAAUUGAGAGAUUAAUAUUUGGGUAACGACUGAUGUUGGUUAAUGUUUUUAAAGGUAUGAGUAGGAAGGUUUAAUAGCUUUUUUUAUGUAAUUUUUAAAUUAAUUUUAAAUUUUUCUGAUUCUAUGUGGUUUAUUGUUGAAACCCGAGAAAUUGUUGAUUGGUUCUUGUUUCAAAUAAAUACGAUUAAUUGUUAUCUUGUAUUUAGAGCUAUAGAGAUCGAACUACCAGAAAAAUAUAUUUUUGAUUUAGAAUUUUUUUGGUAAGAAAAUAAACAUUAUUAAUAGUGAACCAUAUACAUUUUAAGAAUCAAUGCAUGAGAAGGUUGCAUCUCAACAAUAUCUUCACAACCUUUAUGUUUAAAAGCAAUUUGAUUUUGUCACGGACAUUUAUCGAUAUUUUGAAUAAUUUUAAAUUUAAUGAUAAUUCCAUGGUUUAUCUAUACAUCAUUAUUGCACUAAAUCAGUCAUUUACUAUUACUAACCUGUUAAAACCUGCAAUACUUCUUUGUCUCGACGUAUUGUUGCGAAGCUCUUAAUGCGAAAAAAAACCGCAAAAUUGCAAUGCACAAUUUUUUUGCACAAAAACAAAAAAUCUACCGGUAAACGAUUGCAAGUUUAGCGUCUAUCGGAGCAUGACUCGGAAUUGUAUUGGUACCUGAUGGUAAUGGUAUACAAGCGCGACUGAAGGUAACUAUACUCGCGCUUUCUUUGGGUACCACAUGGUUCCUCAAGGCUGUGGUACCGAAAGGACGACCACCUUUUUGUUUUGAUUUUUGUUUGCAUGUAGCAAGUUCCAUAUAAACGGUUUUGUUGAUGAUUUACCUUUAACAUACCAAUCUUGAUUCGUAUUGCGUUUUUUCACGUCAGUUCUGUUAAUUACUACAAUGAUGAUGCAUAUUAAUUGUAUACUAGAUGGUCGAGUUUUUAGUCGACUAUGUUUGUUUUAUUUAAUUCUAAUUUUGCCUGUUUGGAGUUUUAAGGAGUGCGCUCUUCAAAUCUGUGUGAUUAAUUUUCGGUUUUUAUUUGUUUAUAUUAUUGGCUGGCAGUUUUAACAAUUUAUUCAGAAUCAUAAUUCGACGACUAAUGAUGACUAGCCAUUUCUAUAAUGUUUAUUAAUAUACGAUUAAUGGAAAUAAACUUUAAAAUAUAUUCCACUAAAUUAGAUGAUAGGUAGAUCAAUUGCUAAACGCGUGCAUACUUGCGUCAUUAUUUUAUAACUUUUCCUAGACCUUACAGUUUACACGAUGGAAAUUGUCAUGAGCCGGAUGGAAUCGUCAAAAGCUCAUGGUAUAAAAUAUUUGAUUUGGGUUUUUUAACUGGAGCAUGGGAAAUACGAAACUCUAUGCUGAGUGCUGAUUAUACAUCCUCCCUAUGCAGCUCGUUAGUUACGUUUAGAUGCUCACACUGUUUGCCUAAUGAACAAUAUCUAAAGUAAAUUAAGAAUCUAAGUCAGUUCAAAUCGUUCUGCAUAUCAGCUAAUUACAAUCAUCAAACAAUGUGAACUAUCGUACUUAGAAACACCCCAUAUUUUAUAUUUGUAUUUAUAUUGUUAAUAUGGAUUUGUCAACAUUUUUUUCAUAUUUCCGAUUAAACGUUUGCUGCUUUGAGUUCGAGAUCGUGGAACCUUGUAUUGAAUAUAUCCUCUGAAUGCCAAGUGAACAAUUAGAAGACAACAUUGUGUAAAAGCUAACUAAAUAAGGCAAUUUGAAUUCACUUGACGGGAUUAUGUAAUGUGUCUUUGCAAAUAAAUAUUCGAUAAUUGAUUUUA